GAUAAACGCUAGCGGCAGGCUUAACACAUGCAAGUCGAGGGGCAGCAUAGAAUGUAGCAAUACAAUUGGUGGCGACCGGCGCACGGGUGCGUAACGCGUAUGCAACCUGCCCGUCACAGGGGGAUAAUCCGGAGAAAUCUGGUCUAAUACCCCAUAACAUAUGGAUCGGCAUCGGUUCAUGUUGAAAUUUUCGGAGGUGACGGAUGGGCAUGCGUAGCAUUAGCUUGUUGGUGAGGUAACGGCUCACCAAGGCGACGAUGCUUAGGGGGACUGAGAGGUUUUCCCCCCACACUGGUAUUGAGACACGGACCAGACUCCUACGGGAGGCAGCAGUGAGGAAUAUUGGUCAAUGGGCGCAAGCCUGAACCAGCCAUGCCGCGUGCAGGAUGACGGCUCUAUGAGUUGUAAACUGCUUCUGUACGAGGGUAAAGUGGGUUACGUGUAACCUUUUGAAAGUAUCGUACGAAUAAGGAUCGGCUAACUCCGUGCCAGCCGCCGCCGUAA
rnacentral:rRNA from 1 species